ensembl:lncRNA
UUAGUCCAUGUGAGAGAAGACUGAUAUAAAUCCACACAAGAAUGUGUGAAAAACAAUGAUGCCAUUUUAGAUUCUUGCCCCAUUUUAUACCUAUGUCAUAGCCCUGGGCAUAAACAUCUUGUUCUUCUGGUACAGGUCAAACAACUCAAUGGAAAAAGGUAGCAGAGCAUCUUUUUCCUCUUCACCAUCCAUUUGUACUCUUCCUGGCAUCAGCUGCAGCGUGCAUUGCUGUGUGCAUGUAAUCACAUACCAGGGGGGUCAUUCAGUCCCGCCAUGUCUGACACAUCUUAACUACAAGGCUGAGUUCUCCAGUACACGUGGAUAAAACCAUGCUAGAAUACAGACCAUGAGAUUCAGUAUAAAGUGAUUUCAGUUGUCUCCCAGUGCUGUGCUGGCGUAAACAGCUGCAAUUGGAAAUUCUAAGCUACAGAAAAUGGGAUAUGGUAACCUCUUGUGCACAGGAUUUAAAACUAUAGGAUCAUUGACCUCGAAUGGUUUAUGUAGCCUGGGAAAUCGAGAGUUAAGCAGCUUGCAAAGCCACAAAAGCCAGCCACCAGACUGGAGAAUAGAAGCCUUCUUCUAGUUUUCCUGCUGAUAUUCAAUGUUGUUUCAAUCAAAGUACAGGUAGCACUUGAAGAAUGACAGAUCUUGUGAGCUUUAUAUACCAGAAUAAUGAGAUUAUGCUUCAUGACCCUGCUGCAUUUGACUUUUACAUUAGCGAAUAUGAUUCAGGAAUUCAUUUGAACAAUCCACAAAAAUAAAAAGAACAGACUUGAAAAAAAAAAAUGCUGGUUUCUUAUUAAUUGCACAUUGUAACGGGCUCACGGGAGAGGAAGAAUCAUAAUGAAGAAAAUCAGAAAUAAAAGGGAGCCACAAUGUUAAUGUGGAUGGGUACUGAAAAAAUUACAAAAAUAUCAUGGAAAGCACAGAAAACCAUACUUCUCUUACUAGAUUUAUUCUUAUAAUAUUAUCACAUUUAAAAAAAUACAAUUUACGGGGAAAAAAAAUGAACUACAGCUUUUUGCAGUGAUAGGCGACAGGUCAGAAAAGCAUUUCAGAAUAAUUUUACACCUUUUAACCUUAAAAAAUACUUUGCUGACAAUUGAGAAAGGGCCUUAAAAGAAGCGCUGAUAGGCAUUCUCACAGCAGGGUUGCCAUGUCCCAUCACAUAGCAGAGGGUUUCUGCAUAAUGUAUCCUGUAAUAAGAAGUGUACUGCAAAUCACAAGGCUUGAGUAGCAGUUUUAAGAAAGUAAUCCUUGGCAUGAGCUGCUAUUAGUGGUGACACUGAAAGUUUGUUAAGGAAAACUCUUCAGAAGACACAAAGAAGUCAAACUGUCUCAAAUUUCGAUUUGAGCCUUGAAAGAACGACUUUGUCAUAGAAAUUUGUCUGCAUUUAAAUAUAGAUUCAGCGGUCUCUGUUUUUUCAUUUCUGCUCAUGCUUGGACAGCCUCGUUGAGCGAACAGCGCGGAGUUUGGCUAAAUGAAGGUCACUUUUCUCUCGUUCUGUGCUGCAAAUGGCAAUUGUUCAAAGAGCGUUUUAACAGUUACUGGUGUUAAUUACGAAUGCUAAUACAAUUAGUGAUCACCAAGAGUCCCCGUGUUGCAAAGCCUUUGCAAAUGGGGUAAAAACUUGGAAGAAAAUAAAAUAAAAUAAAAUGAGAAGAAUUCCAGUAUAACAAAGAGUAAAUCGGCCCCGCAAAGCACAGCGAGCUAUAUUCACGUUUUAAUAGGUAGGCUAAUCGAAAUGGGAUAUGGAUCUAGAAGAAACCUUCUGUUGAAAUUAAUUUUAUUUUUGUCUGGAAAUGUAAAUAAAAGAAAACGUGAAGGGGCCAUUUCCAGGCAAGUUCUUUUCAGUGUUAAUGAUGCAAAUCAGUGAAGUUUCUCAGUCCCUGAGGGAUCUUUUUGUCUUUCUCAUUUCCAUAAGAAUGAUUUUUAGGUGAUUAAAAUAAAAAUCUAAUGGAAAUAAAAAUUCUUUAUACUUUUCUCACAAUACAGUUUAGUUGGUAUCAGAAAAAAAAAAAAGAAAAAG